rnacentral:rRNA from 1 species
CAUCCAACNAGAGGAGCCUGUUCUAUAAUCGAUGAUCCACNAUAUNCCAAACCAUUUCUAGCCAUUCAGCCUGUAUACCUCCGUCGUAAGCUUACCGUAUGAACGAACACCANUAGGCUAAAGGACUAUANCGUCACAACUUCGGGUCAAGGUGCAACUAAUGAAAUGGAAGUAAUGGGCUACAAUUUCUAAAUUAGAACAAACGAAACNCUAUAUGAAAUAUAGUCGUGAAGGAGGAUUUAGCAGUAAGUAGGAAAUAAANAGUCCUACUAAACAUGGCCCUGGGACUUGUACACACCCCCCGUC